AACGCUGGCGGCGUGCCUAAUACAUGCAAGUCGAGCGGAAUUAGCUUCUUUUCAGCGGCGGACGGGUGAGUAACACGUGGGCAACCUGCCUGUAAGACUGGGAUAACUUCGGGAAACCGGAGCUAAUACCGGAUAACCUUUCCCUCACAUGAGGGAAAGCUGAAAGACGGUUUCCUGUCACUUACAGAUGGGCCCGCGGCGCAUUAGCUAGUUGGUAAGGUAACGGCUCACCAAGGCGACGAUGCGUAGCCGACCUGAGAGGGUGAUCGGCCACACUGGGACUGAGACACGGCCCAGACUCCUACGGGAGGCAGCAGUAGGGAAUCUUCCGCAAUGGACGAAAGUCUGACGGAGCAACGCCGCGUGAGCGAUGAAGCUUCGGGUCGUAAAGCUCUGUUGUCAGGGAAGAACAAGUACCGGAGUAACGCCGGUACCUUGACGGUACCUGACCAGAAAGCCACGGCUACUACGUGCCAGCAGCCGCGGUAAUACGUAGGUGGCAAGCGUUGUCCGGAAUUAUUGGGCGUAAAGCGCGCGCAGGCGGUUCCUUAAGUCUGAUGUGAAAGCCCCCGGCUCAACCGGGGAGGGUCAUUGGAAACUGGGGAACUUG
rnacentral:rRNA from 1 species